AAAAGUAGUUUAGUUCGAUAAUAAUUUUACAUAUUAAAAAUCGAGGGCUACCUCCCCUAAUAAAAGACGGAAAAAAACGUCUCGGUUCCCAUAUACACUAGUGUGUGUUUGGGGUUCUCAAAUCGCAGGAGGAGAAGAUGAAAGUUUGGGUCCUUGCCAUGGCGUCGUUUUUUAAUCGGUGUUCUUUGAACGCGCAAGCCAGUGAAUCGGCCAACGAAAUCCGACCAUCUCAACCAUGCCAAAAACCAACCAUUUAAUUGCGCUUCAUGGGCUACUGGAAGUAUGGUGAGAUUUGAUGUGAGAGGUGGACUCUGGAUAAGGGGACGGGUCAGCAGGAUUGUACCAUGUUAUGACAAGUGUCUGUAUGACAGUACCCUUUUAAUGAUUAUUGAUGGGUUGGCCCGAGCUCGGGCUAAGGUAAAUUCUUUGUCAUCUAGAUUGAGGUUGGUGCAUCACUAAUCAUUAUUAUAAGAUGCAUCCUAGUAUCGAUUAUUGCUGGAGGUCUUUGUCAUCUAGAUUUAGGUGGGUGCAUCACUGAUCAUUAUAAGAUGCAUUUCUAUAGAAGGUUGUGGUGAUCAUUUUAGGUUACAGGUUUAGUUUUUGUGGGAUGGGAAGUUUGAAAAAUGAGAACUACAAAAUUGCCUCUCCUUCAAACCUAAAGUUAGAUUAGUUUCCAGUGGCAUUUUAAUAGUUUAUUGUAAUAUAUUUGGUGAAUGCUAGUACAUGUUGACACGAGAGUACAUCUCCACACUUAUUUAGCAUUUUAGAAGGCUGUGAUAUAUAGUGAUCACUAUUACGUGUCCAUAAAUUAGGAACAUUGACAUAGGAAGAUUAAGCUUAAUAGAACUUAUUAACAAUGGACAUCAAUAAUUGCAGAUUAAGCUUAAAAGAACAACUGUGCAAAAGUUGACUUUAAGUUGAAAAACAAUGGUUGCAUACUUGGAGUUGGAGGGAGUAGGGACACUUAGCUGACCAAAUUUUGAAUCUUUGGCUAGCUCUAUUAUUUCACAUUAAAGCACACCGCGAAUGUUUCAAGUUUCAACUUUACAGGAAUGUUCUGGUGGAGAGAAAAGGGAUUGUGUUUGAACUUGGCUGUUAGUUUAGGAUCCGUAGGUGGUAAUGUAACAUAUUGUAUAUAAGUUAACUUGUAAAUAAAUAGAAACUUAAAAUUUUUGGCUAAAACAUGGCAUUUUCCUUUACAAGGCACCAACAGAUAUGCUAAAUAUUGUAAUCCUUUAUUUUAACCUUUCUGUAAUCCAAUUUAGUAUUUCAAUUCUUAUUUUUCCACAAGGUUGAGUGUUGCCUCGAUGUAAUUAGUUUCCGAGACUGUGACACUACCGACAAUCAUGCAUACACAUUAACUCACUAGAUGAUUUGGACAAGUGAAUCUUUUAUUACGUAAAUCUACACACAACAAGCUUCCUAGGACAUCAGUCCCAUGAUUUAUACAGUGGUUGGUGUAGGAAUAGGCAUUGGGUUUAGUUAUGUCUAUCCAACCCACUUUGAAUGAUUGUUAGUUGGGUACAACUGUAGUGACAUUUGUCAUCAUCUGGUGCAAUCCUGCCUACCCAUCACUUCAUCCCGAGUCUUUUUUCUCAUUGAGAACUUCUUUGGAGCAGGGAGGGCCAUUCCGGCAAAAAAGUAAUCUAAUGCUUGGAGUGGAAACUGUGAUGGUUAUCGAAAGAGUGCUUUAAGUGCCGCUUCAGCAUGAAGCGAAGUGCGCCUAUUGGGCUUUGCUUUUCUGAAGAGCAGAGCAUAUACAAAAGCCCUCCUUUUUGUGUGCUUAAUGUUGAAGCACAAAAAAGCGAUAAAAAGGCGCUUUGCGUAAAUGGGUGUUUUUCUAGAUCUGGACAUAAUUGAAAAGGGUUACGGAUGAGUUGCGUGUUCUAGGGCUAUUUGGCGAUCCCCUUGAAUUUCUCCAUGAAAUCUUACCAUUGCGAAAAUUAGUAUAGUGGUAGAUGACAAUUUAAGGGCGGUCAAUGUACAGAGAGAGAAGGAGAAUAGUUCAUACUUUGUUGCAUAUCGACAUAAACUUAGUGCCUUCUCUCUUAUAUUUCGAUUUUCUUCUUGUCACCACCCUUUACUAGCAUGUGCCUUUGCAAAAAUAAUGCAAGAUGAGGGAAAUCGUUGUAGUUGUAAAGAUGAAAAUCCAGUGUGACAGCUUAUAUGUAUGAUAAAUAGUGACAAUCAACAUGUGGUAUGUAAGUCCCUACUAUUUUUUAGAGUGAGAAUAAAUUUUAAGGGAAAUGAUUGAGCAACAUCUUGACCGUUCAUUCAAGAAAGUUAUCAUCUAACCAUCGGAGAUGCAAGAUGACCGGAGACAUUUAGACAAUAAAGCUUUUAUGUCCGAAAAGAAAAGGCCCAUCUUCUUCCAAGCAUCCUAAAAGAAUGAAUGAACGAAAGAAGUAAAAUAGAAGUCGAUAUAUAACAAAUUAUAUAUAUAUAUACACACACACACAUUAUAAAAUAAUUAAGGAUAUCAUAUUCAAUAAUAAAUAAAUAUUAAAUAUUAAAAGCGUGUGUGUAUAUCAUUUAUGAAGAGAAAGAAAAUAAAAUAAAGUCUAACCAAAGCAAGAUCUUUGGUUAGACAGUAAAGGAAAUAAGAUAAUAUAUAGAAAAUUUAAUUUAAAAAACCUCGAAUAAGCAAAGUGAAAACAUACGCCAUCAAUCAUAGCCACCCAUAAAUGGUACUAAAAUAGGCAUCAAUCAAAGCCACAAUUAACAUUCAAACUGAUUAAAAGAGAUUUAUGACAUUUUUAAAUAAUUUCAAAUUAUUUCCACUUAUACAAAAAGUGAUAACAUCAAUGUAAUAAAGAAGAGAUUCUAAUUAAAAAAAAACUAAAGAAUUUAUACCAAAUCCUUAAAAAUCUAAACAAGACAUUUAUUAAUAUAUUAAUAUAUUAAUAUAUAAUAUAACAAUUACUAAAAAAGAAGGAAAAUUUCAAAAUUCAAAAUAUUAAUAAUUAAUGAGUCAAUCACUAUCUAAGAACAUAUCACAUUAUACAAUUUACCUUUACUGCAAUUAAACUAAUUUAUCAAUUUAAAUGUAGACAAUUAAAAGAAACGAAAUAUUAAAUACAAUUCUAUAAAAUUGAAAACAUAAAUCAUGUCUAAAUUUUAGUCAAUAAUAUCACCACCGCAUACCGCCAGGGAACCACACCACUUACCGUUAUCACAUAUCUCGUAGUAUACAACAUAUUAACGUCUAAAACAAAAACCUAGCUCUAGGCACGGUCAUAUAUUAAAAGAUCAUUGUUACGCCAACAAAUAACAAAAUGCAAUGAGUUUAUUAAAGAAAAUAGUGAUAUUAAAAUUCCGCUGUAUAUAUCUAAAUUACAACGGAUCACAUAUAUAAACAAGUAGGAUUAUGAAUUAGAAAAAAUACACCUUAGUUUUUGUGGAGUAUAUUCACACAAAAUGAUUCUUCAUCGAAUUUGAUGUUUCAAUCGAAUAUUUUUUGUCCAUUACCUCGAUAUUUGACUAUUUCCUCAAUAUAGUUAGUCCGGGUGACGACACAAGUCAAUUACACUCAGAAAUAAGCUCCCUAAUGGCCUGUUUGGAUAGGAGCAUUUCAUUUGAAAUGCUGAAUUUGAACCAAAUACCUUGUUUGGAUAAAUAAAAUAUUUGAAUUUGGAUUUGGCCCAAAUCUCAGCUAAUUAAAAUACAAGCCCAGUAUAGCAUUUGGAAAUAACUUUUUAUCUGGUGUCAUUUGA